rnacentral:tRNA from 1 species
CAAAGUAUAGCUUAAACAUAAAGCAUCUAGCUUACACCUAGAAGAUAUCAUCCAUAAAUGACUACUUUGAG